CCUACGGUAGGCAGCAGUAGGGAAUAUUGCUCAAUGGGGGAAACCCUGAAGCAGCACCGCCGCGUGGAGGAUGAAGGUUUUCGGAUUGUAAACUCCUUUUGUUAGAGAAGAUAAUGACGGUAUCUAACGAAUAAGCACCGGCUAACUCCGUGCCAGCAGCCGCGGUAAUACGGAGGGUGCAAGCGUUACUCGGAUUCACUGGGCGUAAAGAGCGCGUAGGCGGGAUAGCAAGUCAGAUGUGAAAUCCUAUGGCUUAACCAUAGAACUGCAUUUGAAACUGUUAUUCUAGAGUAGGGGAGAGGUAGGUGGAAUUCUUGGUGUAGGGGUAAAAUCCGUAGAGAUCAAGAGGAAUACUCAUUGCGAAGGCGACCUGCUAGAACAUAACUGACGCUGAUGCGCGAAAGCGUGGGGAGCAAACAGGAUUAGAUACCCUGUAGUC
rnacentral:rRNA from 1 species